GCGGCAUCGUGGAGACCACGGCGCCGUAAAGGAAAGGCCGCGUGGUCGUCUGCAGUGGGCCACAAACAGACUCCAUCAGCACUGUUGUGCGCGUGCAUGUGGGCGUCUCUUGCGUCUCUGGUGUGAAGACACGCGGGACAACUUAUCUGUUAUCGGCCCUUCGGCGAACUGCGGCCCAGAAGGAACGGCCGGCGAAUCCCCGCCGGAAGCGGAUAGAAGCCUUUAAUCGCUGAUGCUCGUGCACCCAGGCGAGCCGCGUUAACCGGAUUACGCGUUCACCUUUACCGAGCAGGCGGAGGGGCCCCCGAUCGAUAUGUGACUAAUGUGAUCGGCGAGUGCCGUCGCACUCCGCCUCCUGCUUUCAAUGAAAACGCCGCCGACCUACCGCGGCGCUGGCGGGAACACGUGAAUCCACGGUGGAGGAGAAAGUCCAAUGAGCCGCAUUGCUAACAGAUCAAAGUCCUGGUUGGUGACAAUCCAGCGUGCCAUCCAAGUGCGCUUUAAUGUUCCCGCUGCCCAGGAAGCAGGUGGCGCGAGCCGGGAAUAUCUCAUUAAAACACAGCAGAACGUCCAUUGUGCUCGCCGAUUCCUCAGUGCUGAAUUCCUCCCCCCCCCCACAUCCCGCCAAUGCAGCAGUGCCGCACAUCCAGAACUCACCGUUCGCCUCGCCGUUCUCUCCCUCCCCCCCCUCCCACACCCGCCUUCCUAAGUUUAAUGAAAUUGUCACAGCACCUUAUGAAAUCGGCACCGUGUAAGCAAUAACAUCUGGCAAAUAGAUGGCGCAUAUAAUGUCGGCUGAGCUUCGCUGCACACAGAGGCCGUUAACGGGCGGAGGGACGCGGCGGAUUGAUGAUCAACAGACGUCUCGGAGCGUGGGCCGAAAACCUGCAGAGCAAACGGAAAGGUAUGUUUUUAAAAAAGGCUCAGGAGUUAAUUGUCGUUGCAUGUGUCGAUGUCGCUGAGUGACGGCGGUGCAUGAUGUCGUGCAGAAGCCAUUCCACUACAUCUGUGUUGUGCAUAAUGAAACUGCCUUUUCUGUUGAUUCAUUUGUGAUGAUGUAACGAUGACGUCAGGGGGCGUCGGCUAUUUAAAUGUCACCUGAGUAAGGCCAGGUGUGAGAUACUAUUUUUGACCGCAUUACGCAUUGAACUCUCCGUUUAUUAUGAGUGUGAUUUAGGUUGUUUUUGCCAAACAAUGAAUAAAAGAAUAUUGAAGCGACAAUACGAGCAAAUGCGCGUUGAUUUUUGGACAUACUUUAAAGUCUAAACCUUCACGGAAACUUGAAAUUAAACCGUGCGACUCGUUUUCCCAGAUGUGCACAUCUGCGGGGCGUUGACUCUCCACUCAGGUCCCCUAAUAUGAGUCGUAGUAACAUUCCAGAAAAGGAGAUUACUGUAAUCAGCGUUAUUGACGAUUGGCCUGAUGACAUUAUCAUUAAUACGUUUUCUGUAGAUAUCAUUUUGAUAGUGUGUGUUUGAUAUCGACCUCCCUAUUUAUGACCAUGUUCCCUUUGGUGUUUCUACAGCAGAGCUGCAAACCGUGAAUCUACUCAUCGUGGGAGUUCUGUGUAAACCGUCCUCGCUGGAAUCCUAGUGUCGUCAUGAAAUGAAAGUCAGCGGGGGGGCGGGGGGGGAGGGGCUCAUGCCCAAAGGUUAUGGGAGAGGGGAUCAGUGAAGACGAUGAAGAUCAUCUGCACGAUGAUGCAAACCUGCUUCGUGCUCUUCCAAAGGGACGCCAGCAGGCCGCCGCCAUCCCCGGGCGGGAGAAGAUGAAGAAGACGGUCAUGCAGACCGGGGAGUGUAAGUCACUGCUCUCAGAAGACACUUCAAGAGGGGGGGGGGCAUUAUCUAUUCAUCAAGCAGCCCUCCUUGCUGUUCCACCGGUGCUCUUUGUCACCCGGGUGUCCCGCCAGGAGUGUUCGGUCAGCAGUGCUGAGGGCAGCACAUUGGACUCGCAUCACAGCGUAAUCAGAUAUCCCCCCCCCACAUAUCACAUAGUUCUGCUUGGCUGGGCUCUGCUGAGACUUGCCAUGAUGUGGUCACGCACGCCUCCGGAUGCCCACGCACGCAUACGCGCCCACAGACGAGCUGACGUACGUGUGAAGGAAUCCACCACAAGGCCGCCGCUGCCGCUGCUGCUGCCGCUGCCGCUGCUGCCGCUGCCGCUGCU
ensembl:lncRNA